rnacentral:rRNA from 1 species
UGGGGAAUAUUGGACAAUGGGCGAAAGCCUGAUCCAGCAAUGCCGCGUGUGUGAAGAAGGCCUUCGGGUUGUAAAGCACUUUCAGUGGGAAAGAAAAGUUUAGUGCUAAUAUCACUAGGCCUUGACGUUACCCAAAGAAGAAGCACCGGCUAACUCCGUGCCAGCAGCCGCGGUAAUACGGAGGGUGCAAGCGUUAAUCGGAAUUACUGGGCGUAAAGCGUGCGUAGGCGGUACAGUCAGUCAGAUGUGAAAUCCCUGGGCUUAACCUAGGAACUGCAUUUGAUACUGCUGAACUAGAGUAUGGUAGAGGGAGGUGGAAUUCCGGGUGUAGCGGUGAAAUGCGUAGAUAUCCGGAGGAACACCAGUGGCGAAGGCGGCCUCCUGGGCCAAUACUGACGCUGAGGUACGAAAGCGUGGGGAGCAAACAGG